GAAGGUGAUGCCUGCCCGGUGACCCGACGUUUAACGGCCGCGGUAUCCUAACCGUGCAAAGGUAGCGCAAUCAAUUGUCCCAUAAAUCGAGACCAGUAUGAAUGGCUAAACGAGGUCUUAACUGUCUCUUGCAGGCAAUCGGUGAAAUUGAUCUUCCUGUGCAAAAGCAGGGAUAAACCCAUAAGACGAGAAGACCCUGUGGAACUUUAAAAACAGCAGCCACCCCAAAUAACAUAACCCCCCAUUGGGCUCACUUACACAUAAGCCACUGGCCUGCAUUUUUUCGGUUGGGGCGACCUUGGAGAAAAACAGAACCUCCAAAAAUUAGACCAUACCUCUAGACUAAGAGCAACCCCUCAACGUGCUAACAGCACCCAGACCCAAUACAAUUGAUCAAUGGACCAAGCUACCCCAGGGAUAACAGCGCAAUCUCCUUUAAGAGUCCAUAUCGACAAGGAGGUUUACGACCUCGAUGUUGGAUCAGGACAUCCUAGUGGUGCAGAAGCUACUAAGGGUUCGUUUGUUCAACGAUUAACAGUCCU
rnacentral:rRNA from 1 species